UCUCUACGACGGGUUAAACAACCGCCUUUCACUUUUAAUAAUCACUAUUACGGUGGGAACUCACUUUUCAAUAUGUGAAAUUAAACAGUUCCCUCCCUCUUAAGAUUUAGGUCAAGAUGACUUAGCCAUUCGUCUUAUUGACGUUUGCAUUUCUCAAAGAACAAGUAAGAAAAAUUUCAGUACCCAUUCGUAAACGAAAAGUUCUCUAAAACCCUAAAAUUCCUCCCCUUCGGUUCGCCUCCUUCUCCUCACCGCCAUCUCAUGACACCACUUAUGUACCACCAAUAAUCCUCACCGCCAUCUCAUGACACCACUUAUGUACCACCAAUAACCGACGGCCGCUCAACUCAACCCAGAACACUAGGCCAAAAUUGAAUUCUUGUCAAACCCAUAACACUUUGGCUGGCUAGGAGCCUAGGACACAUCAAAGCGCCUCCACUGGUUGGAAACCUGGCGCCUCCACUGGUUGGUUCUCAAACAGGAAAACUCUUCUGGUUCAAGGACCAAUCCCCGCCGCCACACAUUCAUAUGUACCUAAUCUCUGUAUACACCUGCCUCACUGUAAAGUGUAAAGACGCCGAUGGCGUUAGCCUCCGUCUUUGAACUCUCGACGUCGGAGUCCACCAUGUUCUUUAUUGCUGAUAAAUAUAAAGAAGAUUGGAUAUUAGAAGGGCGCGAUUACUCUUGGGUUGAGAGCUCUUGAUGCUUAUGAGAUUAUUGAUCAUCUCUUUGUAUACUAUAGUUUUUUCAUUGUCUUGAUUUUGAUGAAUCCAUUUGUAGAAGUAUUCAUCUUGAGUUUUGGAAAUUGGGUAUUUAGGAUUUUGUUUGAUCUGGAUGAGUAAGUGAUUUUGGGAUAAGUCAUUUAUGAAUAUAGUUUUGUGUUUGAUAAAAAGUGAUUUGGAGAAAGAAGUGAAGAAGUAGGAUUCAAUUAUUUUGCUUAUUGGUUAUUAAGAGUUGAUGUUUUGAGUUUUUCUGAUGGAGUCAACAUAACAUAAAGAGUAAAGCAUGUUCUUUUUUUUUAUUCAAUCGAUGAUGGAAAUGGAAAUUUGCAUGAUUAACAAAUUAAGUAGAAUAUAAAGGUAUUGAAUAUAAAGGUCUCUUACCUUCUUUCUUAAUAUCUUUAUGCCUAUCAGGUUUUCUUAGAUAGAGUGGAAUAUUUUAUCCAAUUAGUCACUGUUCAUGAAGAUCAAAUCUUUCAGAAACGAGUUCGAAUUCAGCAGAUGGAAGAAAAUAAUAUGAAGAGAUGAGAACUAGGGGAAGAGGAUUAAAGCUUCAAGAGCCACAAUCCUCACUUUCUGAUAAUGUUAUGUAUUUAAUUUAUUUCCUAAACACUUCUAGUAUUUUCGUAGUCUGAAUUGCAUAGUUUCAUUUGAUGACUCAAAAUAUUUUCAUAGUCUGAAUUGCAUAGUUUCAUUUGAUGACUCAAAAUGUCUUAUAGCAUACCAGAAGCAACAAAUAGCAGCGCGUGUAUUUAAUUCUUGUUAUUGUAUUUAUAGAUGGAAGAAAAUAAUAUGAAGAGAUGAGAACUAGGGGAAGAGGAUUAAAGCUUCAAGAGCCACAAUCCUCACUUUUUGAUAAUGUUAUGUAUUUAAUUUAUUUCCUAAACACUUCUAGUAUUUUCGUAGUCUGAAUUGCAUAGUUUCAUUUGAUGACUCAAAAUAUUUUCAUAGUCUGAAUUGCAUAGUUUCAUUUGAUGACUCAAAAUGUCUUAUAGCAUACCAGAAGCAACAAAUAGCAGCGCGUGUAUUGGGAAAUCUACAUGGAAAAGAGUUUUUGAUUCCCUCAAGCAGGUUGAGUACUUAAAUUCCAUAGCAUAUCCGAUAGUAGCUGGGAAAAAGUUACUUAAAAAGGGAUCCAUACAAAGUGGGUGUUUGUAAAAAGGAGUCUUAAAGCCAUUGGUUUGGGUGCUUUCUAAAUGUCAGACUCAUUUGAUGAUAUUUGAAUAUCAAAAGGAACUUGGUACUUACUCAGCUAUGAAAGUAUGCACAUCAGCAGACUUAGAAUGAUUUUUUAGUAUAAUUUUUUUAAUUAAAUAUCAUGAGAUGAUUUGUUAGUAUAAUUUUUUGUAAGUUUAGAUAUAUAUUUUUGUAAGUUUAGAAAUAUAUAGUUGUACUAUAGUAAGAUCAGAACAAC